AUUGAACGCUGGCGGCAGGCUUAACACAUGCAAGUCGAGCGAGCGGCGGACGGGUGAGUAAUGUCUGGGAAUCUGCCUGAUGGAGGGGGAUAACUACUGGAAACGGUAGCUAAUACCGCAUACCAUCAGAUGUGCCCAGAUGGGAUUAGCUAGUAGGUGGGGUAAUGGCUAACCAAGGCGACGAGCCCUAGCUGGUCUGAGAGGAUGACCAGCCACACGGGAACUGAGACACGGUCCAGACUCCUACGGGAGGCAGCAGUGGGGAAUAUUGGACAAUGGGCGAAAGCCUGAUGCAGCCAUGCCGCGUGUGUGAAGAAGGCCUUCGGGUUGUAAAGCACUUUCAGCGAGGAGGCGUUACUCGACGAAGAAGCACCGGCUAACUCCGUGCCAGCAGCCGCGGUAAUAC
rnacentral:rRNA from 1 species